rnacentral:snRNA from 1 species
AUACUAUUCUUCACCUAAAGAAACUAGAACCCUGCAUCUAUUCUUAUCAGUUUAAUAUCUGAUACAUCCUCUAUCCAAGGACAAUGUAUUAAAUGGAUUUUUGGAGCUAGGAGAUGGAAUAGGAGCUUGCUCCAUUCACUCCGCGCAUUGACUUGGUAUUGCAGUACUUCCAGAAACAGUGCACCAGAA